CCUACGGGAGGCAGCAGUGGGGGAUAUUGCACAAUGGGGGGAACCCUGAUGCAGCGACGCCGCGUGGGCGAUGGAGUGCUUCGGCAUGUAAAGCCCUAUCAGCAGGGAAGAAAAUGACGGUACCUGACUAAGAAGCCCCGGCUAAAUACGUGCCAGCAGCCGCGGUAAUACGUAUGGGGCAAGCGUUAUCCGGAUUUACUGGGUGUAAAGGGAGCGUAGGCGGCCUGGCAAGCCUGAUGUGAAAUACCGGGGCCCAACCCCGGGGCUGCAUUGGGAACUGCCAGGCUGGAGUGCCGGAGAGGCAGGCGGAAUUCCUAGUGUAGCGGUGAAAUGCGUAGAUAUUAGGAGGAACACCAGUGGCGAAGGCGGCCUGCUGGACGGUGACUGACGCUGAGGCUCGAAAGCGUGGGGAGCAAACAGGAUUAGAUACCCGAGUAGUC
rnacentral:rRNA from 1 species